UACGUAGGUGGCGAGCGUUGUCCGGAUUUACUGGGCGUAAAGAGCGCGCAGGCGGUCGUUCAAGUCGCGUGUGAAAGCCCCCGGCUCAACUGGGGAGGGUCACGCGAUACUGAUCGACUCGAAGGCAGGAGAGGGAAGUGGAAUUCCUGGUGUAGCGGUGAAAUGCGCAGAUAUCAGGAGGAACACCGGUGGCUAAGGCGGUUCUCUGGGCCUUACCUGACGCUGAGGAGCGAAAGCAUGGGGAGCAAACAGG
rnacentral:rRNA from 1 species